GAUGAACGCUGGCGGCGUGCCUAAUACAUGCAAGUCGAGCGAACAGACGAGGCGCUUGCUCCUCUGACGUUAGCGGCGGACGGGUGAGUAACACGUGGAUAACCUACCUAUAAGACUGGGAUAACUUCGGGAAACCGGAGCUAAUACCGGAUAAUAUAUUGCACCGCAUGGUUCAAUAGUGAAAGACGGUUUUGCUGUCACUAAUAGAUGGUUCCGGGCGGCAUUAGUGUGUUGGUAAGGUAACGGCUUAUCAAGGGAACGAUGCGUAAGCGGGUUGACGGAGUGAUCGGCCACACUGGAACUGAACCACGGUCCAUACUCCUACGGGAGGCAGCAGUAGGGAAUCUGCCGCAAUGGGCGAGAGCCUGACGGAGCAGCGCCGCGUGAGUGAUGAAGGUCUUCGGAUCGUAAAACUGUGUUAUUAGGGAAGAACAAAUGUGUAAGUAACUAUGCACGUCUUGACGGUACCGAAUCAGAAAGCCACGGCUAACUACGUG
rnacentral:rRNA from 1 species